rnacentral:tRNA from 1 species
GUUAGGGUGGCAGAGCCCGGUAACUGCAYARAACUUAAGCUUUUAUUAUCAGAGGUUCRAUUCCUCUCCUUAACA